GGCUCAGAACGAACGCUGGCGGCGUGCCUAACACAUGCAAGUCGAACGGGGUUAAGGGGCUUGCUCCUUAAUCUAGUGGCGCACGGGUGAGUAACGCGUAGAUAAUCUGCCUGAUGAUUUGGGAUAACACUUCGAAAGGGGUGCUAAUACCGAAUAAGCCCACGGAGUCCUUGGACUCUGCGGGAAAAGGGGGGGACCUUCGGGCCUUCCGUCAUCAGAUGAGUCUGCGUACCAUUAGCUAGUUGGUAGGGUAAAGGCCUACCAAGGCGACGAUGGUUAGCUGGUCUGAGAGGAUGAUCAGCCACACUGGAACUGAGACACGGUCCAGACUCCUACGGGAGGCAGCAGUGGGGAAUUUUGCGCAAUGGGGGAAACCCUGACGCAGCAACGCCGCGUGAGUGAUGAAGGCCCUUGGGUCGUAAAGCUCUGACAGAGGGAAAGAAAUGUGGGUGGCUAAUAUCCAUUCCACUUGACGGUACCCUCAAAGGAAGCACCGGCUAACUCCGUGCCAGCAGCCGCGGUAAUACGGAGGGUGCAAGCGUUGUUCGGAUUUAUUGGGCGUAAAGCGCGUGUAGGCGGUUUUAUAAGUCUGAUGUGAAAGCCCUGGGCUCAACCCGGGAAGUGCAUUGGAUACUGUAAGACUUGAAUACGGGAGAGGGCAGUGGAAUUCCUGGUGUAGGAGUGAAAUCCGUAGAUAUCAGGAGGAACACCGGUGGCGAAGGCGGCUGCCUGGACCGAUAUUGACGCUGAGACGCGAAAGCGUGGGUAGCAAACAGGAUUAGAUACCCUGGUAGUCCACGCCGUAAACGAUGAGUACUAGGUGUUGCGGGUAUUGACCCCUGCAGUGCCGCAGCUAACGCAUUAAGUACUCCGCCUGGGAAGUACGGGCGCAAGACUAAAACUCAAAU
rnacentral:rRNA from 1 species